UGCAGUCGAACGCACUUUCGUUGAAUGAAUUAGAGGUGCUUGCACCGAAGAUGAUUUUAGCUAUAAAGUGAGUGGCGAACGGGUGAGUAACACGUGGGUAACCUGCCCAGAAGUGGGGGAUAACACCUGGAAACAGAUGCUAAUACCGCAUAACAAAGUAAACCGCAUGGUUUACUUUUAAAAGAUGGCUUCGGCUAUCACUUCUGGAUGGACCCGCGGCGUAUUAGCUAGUUGGUGAGAUAAAGGCUCACCAAGGCAGUGAUACGUAGCCGACCUGAGAGGGUAAUCGGCCACAUUGGGACUGAGACACGGCCCAGACUCCUACGGGAGGCAGCAGUAGGGAAUCUUCCACAAUGGACGAAAGUCUGAUGGAGCAACGCCGCGUGAGUGAUGAAGGCUUUAGGGUCGUAAAACUCUGUUGUUGGAGAAGAACGUGUGUGAGAGUAACUGCUCAUGCAGUGACGGUAUCCAACCAGAAAGCCACGGCUAACUACGUGCCAGCAGCCGCGGUAAUACGUAGGUGGCAAGCGUUAUCCGGAUUUAUUGGGCGUAAAGCGAGCGCAGGCGGUCUUUUAAGUCUAAUGUGAAAGCCUUCGGCUUAACCGAAGAAGUGCAUUGGAAACUGGAAGACUUGAGUGCAGAAGAGGACAGUGGAACUCCAUGUGUAGCGGUGAAAUGCGUAGAUAUAUGGAAGAACACCAGUGGCGAAGGCGGCUGUCUGGUCUGUAACUGACGCUGAGGCUCGAAAGCAUGGGUAGCGAACAGGAUUAGAUACCCUGGUAGUCCAUGCCGUAAACGAUGAAUGCUAAGUGUUGGAGGGUUUCCGCCCUUCAGUGCUGCAGCUAACGCAUUAAGCAUUCCGCCUGGGGAGUACGACCGCAAGGUUGAAACUCAAAAGAAUUGACGGGGGCCCGCACAAGCGGUGGAGCAUGUGGUUUAAUUCGAAGCUACGCGAAGAACCUUACCAGGUCUUGACAUCUUCUGCCAAUCUAAGAGAUUAGACGUUCCCUUCGGGGACAGAAUGACAGGUGGUGCAUGGUUGUCGUCAGCUCGUGUCGUGAGAUGUUGGGUUAAGUCCCGCAACGAGCGCAACCCUUAUUAUUAGUUGCCAGCAUUAAGUUGGGCACUCUAGUGAAACUGCCGGUGACAAA
rnacentral:rRNA from 1 species